rnacentral:rRNA from 1 species
UCGAGAAUCUUCGGCAAUGGGCGCAAGCCUGACCGAGCGACGCCGCGUGUGGGAUGAAGGCCCUUGGGUUGUAAACCACUGUCAGAGGGGAUGAAGUGCCAGAGAGCUAUCUCUUUGGUUUGACAUAGCCUCAGAGGAAGCACGGGCUAAGUUCGUGCCAGCAGCCGCGGUAAUACGAACUGUGCAAACGUUAUUCGGAAUCACUGGGCUUACAGGGUGCGUAGGCGGCUUGUUAAGUAGGGUGUGAAAGCCCCCGGCUCAACCGGGGAAUGGCGCCCUAAACUGGCGAGCUGGAGUGAGAUAGGGGUGUGCGGAACUUCCGGUGGAGCGGUGAAAUGUGUUGAUAUCGGAAGGAACGCCGGUGGCGAAAGCGGCACACUGGAUCUCAACUGACGCUGAGGCACGAAAGCCAGGGGAGCGAACGGGAUUAGAUACCCCCGUAGUCC